AUUUGAAGGACAAAUUUCGGGCAAAAACAUUGACAUUGGAAUAAUUGGGACCAGCCAAAAAUUCUGGUGAAAACAUAUCGAAAAUAUGUUUGGGCUGCUGUUUUGCAAAUGUGGAGGACAUGGCGAGCAUUUGGUCAUUAAGAAUUCUGAGGGACCAAAGAUAUGCUGCUGAGAUUGAUGAUUAUUUAGCUGAAGUGGAGUAGCUUGCUGGUUGCUAUUGCCGGACUGCUAUGAAGAGAUAUUAUUAAUCAAAUUUGUGUUGCAUUCCUUCGCAUUGCAGGAGGGGUGAUCAAUUUGAUGUAGACAUAACUGAA